UGGGAGCUGGUCUGAGCAGCCAGCCCGCUCCUCCAGUGUAAUGCGAGAUGCCUGACUGGGGGAUUUCCUCGUAGCCCCCUGUCCCAUUUCAGUGCGGGAGGAGCGACCCGCAAUCUCUGUUUCCAUCGCUAGAGGGAGGAAAACUACACGGAAUUAUCACCCCCUUCACUCAUCUCCGGUCUACCCCUCCGUCCAACCGCUCCAGGCAGGGCAGCAGAUGCUCUUCUAGCACGUUUUGUAUGAGGAACAGAUGGAGUGAUUUCUCAUGUAGUGUUACAGUAAUGACCAAUGUGACACAGAAGGAAAAUUCUGUGACAAUAUGCCUUUCCCUACUGCAGGAAGAUGUGACAGCAGAUAACUUGGCAGUGUACUACACCAGCCCAUGCCAAACUUAUUUUCUUCUUCCUGGGAGAUUGAAGCAGUACUCCAGAGGUACUUUCAUUUGUGGGAUUUGAGGCAGCAGGCUCACCUGGCUUGCUACCUUCUUCCUCACCUACAAAACAUGGGCGAUGUGAUGACUGCAUUGCCCUAGCAGCAGAGACCACUGCUGAAAAGACCCCUUUGCCCUCAAACCACAGAGGCAGAGAAGGGAUGGCUGCUCCACCACCCCUCUCUGUACUUUCAAAUGACAGGAAACUUUUCUGUAGUGCCCUUCUCAGACCUCAGAAAUGGGUUGGCUGGGAAGAGCAAUUGUGGAUGGGCACAGAAAGGGCAGAAACUCAAACCUGCUCUUCACUUCGUUAUUAAAUCUAGGGGAUGACAGAAGCACGUUCCCCUCCUGACAAAGUCUGAGGGUCUCUAGUGACAUUUAUGUCACUGGAAAGGCAUAUAAUAUGUACACUGUGGUUUAAUUUUAUCUUAAUGAAACAAUAUACAUAUAAAACUAUCCAUUAAAUAUAAAACAGUGAAGUAAUUUGCAAAUUUUCCUACGGCAUAAUAAAUUAAGCAUGGAGAGCACUAAGGAAUGCAAUUUGCAGUCAUUUAUAAUGCAGUGUUUUAUGUUAAUAAUUCAAAAUCACAUGCUAUUUGGAGACACUUCUAAUUAAUGUAUUUAUGAAAUUGUGAACUGUGACUGUUUUGGUUCCAUUUAGCUAAACAUUUCAACAGAAUGCGCUUGCUGUUGUUUUGUGUUUGCUUAAUGGCACCAGCAAGCAUCAAAUGUACAACUGGGGAGAGUUGGGGGUGGUAUCUGUUGCAGCUUUUUUAAUGGGUAUGUGUUUUUGUCUGUGUACUGUAUACAUGCAUGCGAUUACACCCCUGAUCUUACCGAGACGAAGAAAGUUCUGCAAUAAUUUGAGGAGAAAAUAAGGAAAGGAAAGUUUUAUGGAUGAAUAAUUGAUUGCAAGAAAAGUUCAGUACCUUCUGAAAAAAUUGCUAAAAUAUUCAGUAGUACUUUUCACAUGGCAGAUCUGUAUACACUGACAUUUCUCCUGAGUGGUUAAUUAUGACUAAUACAGCUCGUAAAAUUGUAUUCGUAUUUUUAUUUUGAUAUUAUCCAGCUUUUUUAUAAGACCAAGUUUUUGUCAUACUGCUCCUUUAUCAGAAUGCUAUGAAGAAUGUCACGAUUCCCCAGAAAGUUAUUCUCCCAAGAGACUUGCAGAGAUUUUUGGGUAUUUUGAAAUUUUAAGAAUAAAACCUAUGCAUAUCAGAAUUUGUAGUGAAUUAAUACAUGUCAUGGCCCUAAUUCUCAAAGUGGCUUGAAAUGAAUGGGCUUCUAAGCAUAUGCAGAACCAGAUGCUAAUACUACUCUGUUGUAGCCCUGCACAGGAAAGCGAAGGGAAAGGUCUUGAAAUAAUUUUCUAUGACAAUCUGUUUCACACGGGAAAGCAAAUUAAAAAACGAAAGAAACCUGAAACUCCUCAAACCCAUAGUAAAGAGGUCCAAGACGCUAUAUGCGGCCCCUUCCGCCUUUCAAAACAGUUCUGAGAAUUUGACGGGAUGCUAAAUGAAGAUCGUAAUGUCUCCUGGUGAUUUCAAAGCUCAUUUGCAGUAACUCCAUGUCGAAAGUUUUAUUUCACUACUGUGCUGUCUGUGUGGUUUUUGUUCUUCUUCUUUCUUGGUUGCUUGCCUUUUUACUUCUCUUUUUUUUUUUCCACUGCUUGGGACAGUAUGCAUAUGGAUGGGAAAAUAUUUUAAAAGUUCUCAUGGCCUUUAGCUGUGGUCUUGGAAAUUGACCAAUGUAAUCAUUAGACUGAGAAUUAAAGGUGGAUUUUGACCA